rnacentral:rRNA from 1 species
UACGUAGGGGCUAGCGUUGUCCGGAAUCAUUGGGCGUAAAGCGCGCGUAGGCGGCCCGGUAAGUCCGCUGUGAAAGUCAAAGGCUCAACCUUUGAAUGUCAGCGGAUACUGCCGGGCUAGAGUCCGGAAGAGGCGAGUGGAACUCCUGGUGUAGCGGUGGAAUGCGCAGAUAUCAGGAAGAACACCAACGGCGAAGGCAGCUCGCUGGGACGGAACUGACGCUGAGGCGACGAAAGCGUGGGGAGCGAACAGG